rnacentral:lncRNA from 1 species
GCCUCCCCCCUCUCCGCCCUGUCCUGCCCUGCCCUGCUUCACCCUGCCCCCGGCCCCGCCUCCGGCCCUGCCCGCCCUGCAGAGUUUGGCGUGUGUGUUCCCUGCCUUCAAGGAGGUGACCGAGGCGCCCGGCCCGCACCUGGCUGAGAUCGACGAGCACACGCCCAACAGCCGCGUGUUCCGCAACUAUGCCGGCAUGGUGCAGGAGUGAGUGGCGGUGUGUGUGUGUGUGUGUGUGUGUGUGUGCGUUACCUAAAAGCAUACAGAAGCCCGCCCAGACGGGGCAGGAGUUACUUGUGUAGUUGUGUGUGUGUGUGUGUGUGUGUGUGUGUGUGUGUUAGGGGAGGGAAAGGGGAACUGGCACAUACUGUGUCCGCGCUCAUGCGUGCGUGGCGUGACUCGAGCGGGGAGGAGCGGCGGAUGGCAAGGGACAGGGGCGCAGUGGUUGCAAUGUGGAGGUUGACGAGUGCGGGAUCAUCGGGCAUCAAUGGCCGCUGCGCAGCGGCUGCUGCAUCAUGGACAUUCUGUGUUAUGGAGAUUUCUGUUGUCCUGACAGUUAUGUGCCUGCUGGCCCCACACACACACUCACGCGCACAGGGACCAAGAGGAGGGCAAUGACGCGUACGCGCUCAAGAACGGCUGGGUGGCUGUCACGCCGCUGAGCUUGCUUUCGCACAUCCAGCUGGGACAGGUGCGUGGCCCGUGUUUUUGUUUAUUCGGUACCGUACGUGCAUGUGUGUGUGUGCGUAAUAAACGAAACGAAAGCCCGCUCAGACGUGUGCGUGUGCGCGCGUGCGGUUUGCAAGGUGCUACUCACACUCCCGCGCAUCCCUGCUAUGUACCACCCCUCAACCCUUUGCCGCCACGGCUGCUGCCGCCGUGGCUUGCUGGCUUGCAGGACCCCCGCGCGGAGAACGUGGUGAACGCCGUGUCUCAGAUCGUCACCCGGGCGGCGGCGGAGGCUGGUCUCUCGACCGGCGGUAUUCCCGCCAAGCUCUGAACGUCAGGUGUCGGUGCAAAUGCCGAUUGGAGCCAGGUUGCGGCACAACGACCAAAUGCCGUGGCGUGUGUCGAUGACCAGGCCUGUCUGGCGCUCGCGGCGGUGGCAUAGUAGGCGGUAGGCGGAGUAAAGCUAUCUCGCGCGAGGGAGCCCAAUAGCUAAAUUGCGGUGGCACUUGCAUGGUGACUGUAUUAGGACAUUCGGAUCUCGGGAUGUGUGUCUCGGACGGGGCACAGAGACUACACUAUGGCGUGGCGUGGCGGGCGGGCCUCUCAUGCCCGCUCCGCAGCUGGGUGCCGGCGUUGACGCUACAGAUGGAGCGGCUGCGAGUGCUUCCCUGAGACGAAGCAUUGUGCGCCGGCCAGUGAGCUUCUGUGCAAGCUGCCGCGAUGAUGGGCCAUUCCGUACACUGUCGGCUGUUGUGGUCCAUUUCCUGGGGGGAAAGGCUGCUGGAAAAGCAGCAGCAGGCAUACGGGGGGAAGGGGCAGGGCUCCUUCCGCACCAAAACAUGAGCAGCAACAGGGCUACUGUGUCAGGCGCUACGCAGCAUUCUCAAUAACAUCAUCUGGGGGCUCUGUGCAGCCGUGCAUGGUGGUUGCCAGCACGCCGAGGUGCACCCCAGUGGGACAGGGACACGGGCAGACAGGGUUAGGGAUAGAGGCUGCUAAGUGGAGGGACGGUACGCUUGACAACGGCAGGGUGAGGGAUUAGGCCAGAACAUGAUUGGGGACAGAGCUUGCAACGGGGCAGACGGAACGUGAUUGCCGGCGGCGAGGCGGGGCCAUGGACGGGGCUACGGGCAGGGCGACGCCACGGUUACUCGCACUGCCCAGCCGUUCACCUGUGCUGACAUGCAUGGCAGUCUGGCAGACCUCACGCAAGACCACUGGAUGAGGCGUGGCCGUGUGGGGCUCGUCGUCGCACUCAGCUGUUGGCAGGCCCCCGCUAGUUGCCCUGUGUCCGCCCUCUUCGGUGCUCAGCCUGACCAAGGCCUUGGGGGCGCCGGCAACCACAAACCCAACUGAGGCUGUAUACUUGGACGCAACCCAUCCGUGGCCAGGUUUCUAUCGACGUCCUCCGACAGUGAAGGGUUCCGCAAAACCGCCUCACCGACAUGUGAGACAUGCGACAUGUGCCCUCAGGUCUCUCAGCCCCUGUGCUCCUGGAGCGCUACGUUAUGCGCAGCAUGACCAUCGCAGCUACUCAAGAAAACAAAAGACCAUAAGCUGUGAGCCGUUGACUGAGUUGACCGUCGCGAAACAGCGUCCUUUCUCAGCAAGCCUUGCCAGCCGAACCCGAAUUUAUUUACCUUCACGGCAAUACACCAUGUACGUUUUGAAUGCCUGCAAUCGGGUUUCGGCCUCGCCCUGGGCCUGCUAAGAAAUUCACAACUCCCCGCGAGAAUGCUGGCCGUGCACUCAAUUAAAUAUGCUCAUGCAAGUAAGCUGAUUACAUGCAUAUUUGAGGAGCGGGGCGGGGCCAUUCCUCCAGGAAAUGGGGAACUCCUACCACAACCUCCUACAAUGUACGGAAUGGCCCAUCGCCGCGGGCAGCUUGCACUUAAGCUUGCCGGCCGGCGCGCACAGAUUCACCUUCAGGCAAGCACUCGCAGCCGCUCCAUCUGUAGCGUCGACCUUUCAGAACCACUCCAAAACAAUGGCCACUAUCUCGUCGAUGCGCGUUGGCGCUGCUUCCCGCGUGGUCGUCUCUGGCCGCGUGAAGGUGAGGCACUUGAUCGCACUUCUUCUUCAGUAGUGUCAAGGCGGCAGGUUCAUGGCGCGGCUUGAUAGGCGACCAGAGCGACUUGCAAGCUUGGCCUCGGCGCAAAUGCCGUUACACGACCGCGCUUGCUUGGCUUCGCGCGCCGAGCAGCGCAGCUGCAUGGCAAUGGUUGUUAUGAUCAUAGUCUCCACCACGCCUUGCUCUUCAGCCUUUCUGAUGCGACUGUUACUGUCCUUCGCGCGCCCUUGCAGACCGUGAAGGUCGCCGCCCGCGGCAGCUGGCGCGAGUCUUCCACUGCCACCGUGCAGGCCAGGUGAGCACACUUCUGCAGCUAUGAGAUGCAUCUGGGUCCAGCUUAAAGCGGCUCGCGUUGUGUGGCGCGCCGCGAUCCCUUAUCCGCUCGCCUGCCAGCCGGGCCUUUUCGCACUUGUUUCCUAAGUCAAGUUCGAACCUGCAGCUGGCUGUGCAUAUCUUGCUAAGUGAUAGCGCGGUUGUACGCGGUUUGAGUACGCUGCUCAACUGGUGUACUGACACGUUUGCUUGCCGUUUCCCCUGGUGCCCCUUCGCCCCUGCAGCCGCGCCUCGUCGGCCACCAACCGCGUGAGCCCCACCCGCUCCGUCCUGCCCGCCAACUGGCGCCAGGAGCUGGAGAGCCUGCGCAACGGCAACGGCUCCUCCUCGGCUGCCUCGUCGGCCCCCGCCCCGGCCCGCUCCUCGUCGGCCAGCUGGCGCGACGCCGCCCCGGCCUCGUCGGCCCCUGCCCGCUCCAGCUCUGCCUCCAAGAAGGCCGUGACCCCGUCGCGCAGCGCCCUGCCCUCCAACUGGAAGCAGGAGCUGGAGAGCCUGCGCAGCAGCUCCCCCGCCCCCGCCUCGUCGGCCCCCGCCCCGGCCCGCUCCUCGUCGGCCAGCUGGCGUGAUGCCGCCCCGGCCUCGUCGGCCCCCGCCCGCUCCAGCUCCUCCAAGAAGGCUGUGACCCCGUCGCGCAGCGCCCUGCCCUCCAACUGGAAGCAGGAGCUGGAGAGCCUGCGCAGCAGCUCCCCCGCCCCCGCCUCGUCGGCCCCUGCCCCGGCCCGCUCCUCGUCGGCCAGCUGGCGUGACGCCGCCCCGGCCUCGUCGGCCCCUGCCCGCUCCAGCUCUGCCUCCAAGAAGGCCGUGACCCCGUCGCGCAGCGCCCUGCCCUCCAACUGGAAGCAGGAGCUGGAGAGCCUGCGCAGCAACUCCCCUGCCCCCGCCUCGUCGGCCCCUGCCCCGGCCCGCUCCUCGUCGGCCAGCUGGCGUGACGCCCCCGCCUCGAGCUCCAGCUCGAGCGCCGACAAGGCCGGCACCAACCCCUGGACUGGCAAGUCCAAGCCCGAGAUCAAGCGCACCGCCCUGCCCGCUGACUGGCGC